rfam:Bacillus selenitireducens MLS10, complete genome.
AAAGAACUGCAACCGCACAGAUCAGGUUUGGUUUCCAUGUAAGCACAUUCGUGCACCUGUAAUGGCGAGUCUGAGUAUUGAA